rnacentral:lncRNA from 1 species
UGUUGGAUCCAUCAGCGAGGUUGUUUCCUUCGGUCUUUUUUUUUUUAGAACUGUUUCCUUCGAUCUUUGGAUCUGAUCCGGCGAUUAAGCCGUCGAUCUAGGGGCCUUUUGGGGCAACCUUGCCGGCCUGGCGCGCGUGACAGCUGCCGUCACUACGGGAGAAUCCUACGUUGCCGACGGCCCGAAGCCUCCGGCAAAGGACGUCGGCACGAAGGCACAA